rnacentral:other from 1 species
GCGGGGCUGCGCGGCGCGACAGGUCGAUUGUCCCUGGGGCCGUAGCACUUCUCUUAGGGAGCUGUCCCUGCCGGGACCGUGGUCCCGGCACAUGGCGCCCACCUGCUGAUGCAGGGCCCAAGAGGAGACAUAAUGACCACCGGCCGAGGCGGCUCCGCU